rnacentral:rRNA from 1 species
AUUGAACGCUGGCGGCAGGCCUAACACAUGCAAGUCGAACGAGUGGCGGACGGGUGAGUAAUGUCUGGGAAACUGCCUGAUAGAGGGGGAUAACUACUGGAAACGGUAGCUAAUACCGCAUACCCUCGGAUGUGCCCAUAUGGGAUUAGCUAGUAGGUGGGGUAACGGCUCACCUAGGCGACGAUCCCUAGCUGGUCUGAGAGGAUGACCAGCCACACUGGGACUGAGACACGGUCCAGACUCCUACGGGAGGCAGCAUUGGGGAAUAUUGCACAAUGGGCGCAAGCCUGAUGCAGCCAUGCCGCGUGUAUGAAGAAGGCCUUCGGGUUGUAAAGUACUUUCAGCGGGGAGGCGUUACCCGCAGAAGAAGCACCGGCUAACUCCGUGCCAGCAGCCGCGGUAAUUC